rnacentral:rRNA from 1 species
UACGUAGGUGGCAAGCGUUGUCCGGAUUUACUGGGCGUAAAGGGCGUGCAGGCGGUCUGUUAAGUGCAGGGUGAAAGCUCCCGGCUCAACUGGGAGAGGUCCUUGCAUACUGGCGGACUUGAGGGGGGGUAGAGGAAAGUGGAAUUCCCGGUGUAGUGGUGAUAUGCGUAGAUAUCGGGGAGGAACACCUGUGGCGAAGG